rnacentral:lncRNA from 1 species
CUCCUCCUCUUCCUUCUGCCUCCUAGCUUCCUCUCUCUCUCUCUCUCUCUCUCUCUGCUAUAUAUCUGUACCUAGUUAUUUCAACCAUUCCAAUUCCAUCAUGUAAAGAAUUCUGCUUUUCUUCCUACUACCCUUUUUCAAGUUCAGGAUCUGGAGGCCAUGUUUGCGUAAGUUGGAAGCUAGCUAGCUGGGUGCAUAAAGAUAAACAGUCAAAUACAUGCAUCUGGACAUUUUUACCAGUGUGACUGUGUGAGUACCUCUCAGCAACAACUAGGAACCUCUUUAGGUUGAAUCUUGCUGUUGUCACACAUUCCAAAGUCUCGACUUUUUAUUCCCAAGUCUCUUCUGCAUCGGCAAGGCGAG